UCCUUACUCUAUUAUCAUGAAAAAAGUAAAAUAAUAUUUUUUGUUAUUAAAUACAAAUGAUACAAUUGUUAUUGGCUUUAUUGCGUUUCGUUUAUUACGACGUUUGAAUUUUUUUUUUUGUAUAAAUACCGUAUGUAAUGUUUUUAAAAAUCAUAAAAUUCGGUAAUCGAUAUAGAAAGGAUCACCGUUAAUUAAAUUCUUGAAGAGUAUUUUAAUAACCAUCAAAAAAUGAAGUUGAAUUUUAUUGUCAUUGCUAUUAUUGGUGUCAUCAUAAUGAUGUUUGCUGACAUGGGUGAUGCACAGGCGCAAAGAUGUUUACGAAGAGGAUCUCGUUGUCGAGUAAAUAGACAAUGUUGCAGUCGUCGUUGCAGACCCAACAUUUCUGGCCGUCGUGUUUGUCGAUGAUUUUAAAACGAAAUAAUAAAACUAAAAUAAAUAUUACAAGAAAAAAAAAAAAAACGAGUUCAUUAAUUAUUUUUAUACC